rnacentral:rRNA from 1 species
CGGGUGAGUAACGCGUGAGGAACCUGCCUCAAAGAGGGGGACAACAGUUGGAAACGACUGCUAAUACCGCAUAAGCCCACAGCUCGGCAUCGAGCAGAGGGGAAAGGAGUGAUCCGCUUUGAGAUGGCCUCGCGUCCGAUUAGCUAGUUGGUGAGGUAACGGCCCACCAAGGCGACGAUCGGUAGCCGGACUGGGAGGUUGAACGGCCACAUUGGGACUGAGACACGGCCCAG